rnacentral:lncRNA from 1 species
UGUAUGUCAAGCACUUACCUCGAGAAUGGAAUUUCUUCUUUAAUUCCAUCUCUCAUGUAUUUGCACCAAAGACUGGAGGGUUCCAUGGAAUUACUAUCUUCAAUCAAGAAAUUGGAAUUGCAAUAGCUCAGAACACAAGAAUCAAUCUGGGGCAUCUGAUAAUGGGAGCUUUUCAGGACUCUCUAAGAAAGAACAGAAAUGUAC